rnacentral:rRNA from 1 species
AGGAAUAUUGGUCAAUGGGCGAGAGCCUGAACCAGCCAAGUAGCGUGAAGGAUGACUGCCCUAUGGGUUGUAAACUUCUUUUAUAAAGGAAUAAAGUCGGGUAUGUAUACCCGUUUGCAUGUACUUUAUGAAUAAGGAUCGGCUAACUCCGUGCCAGCAGCCGCGGUAAUACGGAGGAUCCGAGCGUUAUCCGGAUUUAUUGGGUUUAAAGGGAGCGUAGAUGGAUGUUUAAGUCAGUUGUGAAAGUUUGCGGCUCAACCGUAAAAUUGCAGUUGAUACUGGAUAUCUUGAGUGCAGUUGAGGCAGGCGGAAUUCGUGGUGUAGCGGUGAAAUGCUUAGAUAUCACGAAGAACUCCGAUUGCGAAGGCAGCCUGCUAAGCUGCAACUGACAUUGAGGCUCGAAAGUGUGGGUAUCAAACAGGAUUAGAUACCCUGGUAGUCCACACGGUAAACGAUGAAUACUCGCUGUUUGCGAUAUACGGCAAGCGGCCAAGCGAAAGCGUUAAGUAUUCCACCUGGGGAGUACGCCGGCAACGGUGAAACUCAAAGGAAUUGACGGGGGCCCGCACAAGCGGAGGAACAUGUGGUUUAAUUCGAUGAUACGCGAGGAACCUUACCCGGGCUUAAAUUGCAGAUGAAUUACGGUGAAAGCCGUAAGCCGCAAGGCAUCUGUGAAGGUGCUGCAUGGUUGUCGUCAGCUCGUGCCGUGAGGUGUCGGCUUAAGUGCCGUAACGAGCGCAACCCUUGUUGUCAGUUACUAACAGGUUUUGCUGAGGACUCUGACAAGACUGCCAUCGUAAGAUGUGAGGAAGGUGGGGAUGACGUCAAAUCAGCACGGCCCUUACGUCCGGGGCUACACACGUGUUACAAUGGGGGGUACAGAGGGCCGCUACCACGCGAGUGGAUGCCAAUCCCCAAAACCUCUCUCAGUUCGGACUGGAGUCUGCAACCCGACUCCACGAAGCUGGAUUCGCUAGUAAUCGCGCAUCAGCCACGGCGCGGUGAAUACGUUCCCG